UACAGAGGCCUCGAGCGUUAGGCGGAAUCACUGGGCUUAAAGCGUGUGUAGGCGGACUUCUAAGUACCUUGUGAACUCCCACAGCUUAACUGUGGAACUGCUUGGUAUACUGGUUGUCUUGAGGUACCUAGGGGCGAGCGGAACAAGUGGUGGAGCGGUGAAAUGCGUAGAUAUCACUUGGAACGCCAACGGUGAAAACAGCUCGCUGGGGGUAUCCUGACGCUGAGACGACGAAAGCCAGGGGA
rnacentral:rRNA from 1 species